GACGAACGCUGGCGGCGUGCUUAACACAUGCAAGUCGAACGGAAAGGCCUGCUUUCCCUUGUGGAUUGCGGGUACUCGAGUGGCGAACGGGUGAGUAACACGUGUGUGAUCUGCCCCCAACUUGGGUAUAAGCCUGGGAAACUGGGUCUAAUUCCCGAUAGGACUGCAGGGUGGUGCCUGUGGUGGAAAACGAUUUUCUAGUGGUUGGGGAUGAGCUCGCGGCCUAUCAGCUUGUUGGGGGGGUAAUGGCCUACCAAGGCGGCGACGGGUAGCCGGCCUGGGAGGGGGGACGGCCACAUUGGGACUGAGAUACGGCCCAGACGCCUACGGGAGGCAGCAGUGGGGAAUAUUGCACAAUGGGCGGAAGCCUGAUGCAGCGACGCCGCGUGGGGGAUGACGGCCUUCGGGUUGUAAACUCCUUUCGACCGCGAGGAAGCCACCUGGUUGGAAGGGUGGUGACGGUAGUGGUAGAAGAAGCACCGGCUAACUACGUG
rnacentral:rRNA from 1 species